GGUAAUAUACACUGUAAAAAACACUGUAAAUACACUGUAAAAAAGGAUACAUGUAUCAAUGUUAACAUGGGGGGAUGUAUAAUGUUUGUCGUCUGUCUCGUGGUGCAGGAUCGCCACGCGGCACUGAUGGUUGUUGGGUCAAGUUUGUUAAUCGGCUUAAUUUCUGCCGAUCUGUUCAUGUGGAUUGUUGUAGCUUCCGCAAUUCUGCCUCUUCUCGGGUCGUGUUGUUCGUGCAGCAGCUUUGAUUGGUUCCGGUUGGUAGCUGUGUCCGAUGGCGGGGCCCUUUGCACUGGUGUUGUCGUCGAUGCUCCUCUUUCAGUGUCUUUCUUGUGUUCGGUUGAACGUUUGCUCA
rnacentral:lncRNA from 1 species